CCUACGGGAGACAGCAGUGAGGAAUAUUGGUCAAUGGACGAGAGUCUGAACCAGCCAAGUAGCGUGAAGGAUGACUGCCCUAUGGGUUGUAAACUUCUUUUAUAUGGGAAUAAAAUGUUCCACGUGUGGGAUUUUGUAUGUACCAUAUGAAUAAGGAUCGGCUAACUCCGUGCCAGCAGCCGCGGUAAUACGGAGGAUCCGAGCGUUAUCCGGAUUUAUUGGGUUUAAAGGGAGCGUAGGUGGAUUGUUAAGUCGGUUGUGAAAGUUUGCGGCUCAACCGUAAAAUUGAAGUUGAAACUGUCAGUUUUGAGUACAUGAGCGGGGGGAGGAAUUCGUGGUGUAGCGGUUAAAUGCU
rnacentral:rRNA from 1 species